GAUGAAGAACGCAGCGAAAUGCGAUAAGUAAUGUGAAUUGCAGAAUUCAGUGAAUCAUCGAAUCUUUGAACGCACAUUGCGCCCGCCAGUAUUCUGGCGGGCAUGCCUGUUCGAGCGUCAUUUCAACCAUCAAGCCCCGGGCCUGUGUUGGGGACCUGCGGCUGCCGCAGGCCCUGAAAUGCAGUGGCGGGCUCGCUGUCACUCCGAGCGUAGUAGUUACAUCUCGCUCUGGGCGUGCUGCGGGUUCCGGCCGUUAAAAGCCUUAUUUACCCAAGGUUGACCUCGGAUCAGGUAGGAAGACCCGCUGAACUUAAGCAUAUCAAUAAGCGGAGGA
rnacentral:misc_RNA from 1 species